GGAGUGAGGAGGAGGGAGGGUCCUUCAUAGGUUCUAACAUGCAUAGAGGCACUGCUGUCAAAUUUCACUCAGAGUAGAAGCCCGAGCAUGUCACUCAAAUCACAGGGGAACUGUAUUGGCUGCUUGUCAAAGAGACACUAAGGAGAGUUCCGAACGAGCACAGGGUCCUGUUUUUUAGACCUUGGAAAACAGAGGUAUUCUAACUGCCAUCAAUAAAACUGUUUCACUCCAGCUCAGAUUUACCAUCCAUUUCUCCUUGCAUAGGAGGUUCUAGAACAGCUGAGCGCACACACUGAAGGAAGCUAGUUGUGUGAUGUGUAAGCAGCCUCUGGGCCAUCUAUGUGAUGGGGAAACCAAAGCCUCCAGCC